AACGAACGCUGGCGGCAGGCUUAACACAUGCAAGUCGAGCGCCCCGCAAGGGGUGCGGCAGACUGGUGAGUAACGCGUGGGAACGUACCUUUUUGUUUGGAACAACUCCGGGAAACGGGAGCUUAUACCGGAUAAGCGCUAACGGGGGAAGAUUUAUCGCCGAAAAAUCGGGCCGCGUCAGAUUAGCUAGGUGGUGGGGUAACGGCGCGCCAAGGCGACGAUCAGGAGCUGGUCUGGGUGGAUGAUCAGCCACACUGGGAAUGAGACACGGCCCAGACUCCUACGGGACGCAGCAGUGGGGAAUAUUGGAGAAUGGGCGCAGGCCUGAUCCAGCCAUGCCGGGUGAGUGAUGAAGGCCUUAGGGUUGUAAAGCUCUUUUGUCCGGGAAGAUAGUGACUGUACCGGAAGAAUAAGCCCCGGCUAACUUCGUG
rnacentral:rRNA from 1 species